rnacentral:rRNA from 1 species
AUGGUUAUUGCUGCCCAAAAAAACUGUCUCAUCAAAGGAUUGGCCUCGGGGCUAAUCGAGGGAGGGGUGGGUAUCCUCCAAUACGCUGAUGACACCGUCCUGUGCUUUGAACAUGACACUGACAGGGCUGUUAAUGUUAAGGUGUUGCUAUAUCUCUUCGAGCUCAUGUCUUGAUUGAAAAUCAAUUAUGAUAAGAGUGAAGUGUUUGUGGUGGGAGGGGAUAACGAAACUGACAUAAUUUAGGCAGAGAUAUUUGGUUGCCGUGUGGGCACCUUACCCAUGAGGUACUUGGUAGUGCCAGUAACCUAUUCCACUCUUAAGAAUAUCGAGCUAGAUUUCUUGAUGCUAAAAUGGUCAAAAAAACUUGAUGCAUGGGUGGCAUAUGCAGCCUCCUCGGGUGCUAGACUCACUUUGCUAGAUUCUAGCUUGGAUGGUAUUCCUUCCGACCUGAUGUCCAUGUUUCUCUUCAACAAAACCUUCAUUGAAAAAAUUAAUAAGCAUCGCAGACGCUUCUUUUGGAGGAGGAAGAAUAAGAAGCGUGCUUAUCACAUGGUUAGAUGGGAUAGGAUCUGCCGAUCAAAAAGAAUUGGUGGCUUGGGAAUAAAAGAUCUCCACAAGCAAAACAUUAGCCUCCUUGUGAAAUGGUGGUGGAAGUUGGAAACUUGCGAUGGGCUAUGGCAAUGCAUUAUCCGAGCUAAAUAUUUCAGGAACAAAACCGUUGCGAAUAUCUGCAGCCGCUUUUCUGAUUCCCCUUGCUGGAAAUCCAUUAUGAAGGUCAAAGAUACUUAUAUGGCUGGGAGGAAAAUCAUCAUUAACAAAGGAGAUUUAGCUAGGGUUUGGCACCACCCAUGGAUAGAUAACUGCCCAUUACAAGAGCAUUUCUCUGUCUUAUAUGACAUUUGUCAAAAUCAAGACUGCACCAUUGCUUCUUUUGCAGCCAACAACUACGAUCUAGCUUUUAGACGUAGGUUGUUUGGUGCAUUGGAGGAACAAUAG